CUUCCAACAAAACUGCCACCUUUGAUUCGCAUGAUUCCUUCGUAGGCUUUUUGUUUCACGACCGAAUCAACUACAGCAGGUACGGUCGAGAAUGCAAUAAAGACCAGAAGACUAAUUGCGAUAAUUGGGAUUAAUAGGAUCACCAAAAAGAGAGGUGCAAUCCAUGCACGGGCCUCAUCAAACCCCACAAACUCCAGGCCCGAUUGAAUCCAGCUCGUGAAGAUCGAUGCGGUUAAGAAGGUGCGCAGCAUCUCCAGUGCAGGCGACCAGAUAAGCCAAAUCACUACACCCCAGAAGAUCGACACAAUCAAAAAUGGACGAAAGCUAAGCCACAGCAUUUUUGGGUGCAUCGUACCAACCAAUGCCAAACCCAGUGAACGAAUUAAAUCAGACAAUCCUGCUCCUUCAUCAACUUAGCUGAUCGAUUUAGAUUUAGUCCGUACUGAGCGAGGUAAAUCCAGUAAAUACCGCAAGGAGUGCGUGAAGCCCUGCCAUUGCUGCACCAAAAGAUUAUUCGAUACCUCGAGAUUACGAACCCCAGUCGGAAAGACCCGCUUCUCAAAGACAGCGGUCCCAAAUGCCAUAUCCCACCAAGGGAAUAGCACCCCAAAAUUACAGCCGCCUAAUACCCCGGGCUUCCCUGGUGCAUCGUGACCAUAACCCACUGCGUGGUGAUACCGAUGAAACAAUGGCGAUACUAGUAAAUACUUUGCGGGCCCAAGAUCAAUCUUGAGAUUGGCGUGCUGCCAGCUUUGCACUAACUGUCCGACAACUACUAGGAAGAUAAAUUGCCCAGGCGGGACACCAAAGAUCAAAGCAAAGAAGGCAAAGACCAUCGCACGCAUGACAUCAUCGAUGAUGUGAUUGCGGUCAUCCGACCAUGCGGUCAUGCGUGUUUGACUAUGAUGCAAGGCGUGCAACUGCCACCACCAAUGAAAGCGAUGCGAAGCGCGGUGAUACCAGUAAUCAAUGAAAUCCAGAAUGACUAAGUAGAUCAGAAAACUAACCAAGGGGAUCGAGGUCACGCUAGGGAUCCAGCCCUCGACAUUAAAGCGCUCAAACCGCCAAUCGUGCAAGACGCCCGAUAGAUAGAAAAAUAGGCUCGAGAACAAGAUGAAAAACGCCCCAUGAAAUAAACCAAGGCGAUGAAUCAGGGUGUAGAGAAUAUCCGUACGCACAUACGGUCUUGUAUUUGUCUGGGACUCGGCAGGAUCGAUACGCUCCCAGGUCCGAAACACAAUGGCAAUGAUCAAAAUCUGAAUCACGCCCAACAUGAACCAUUCGGUGCCAUCAAAUAAAUCUUCCGCCCAUGCCAUCGCGCCGGUUUAGACAGAAGUAGGCGUUGGGUAGGCAAAUCCGCCCAGCAUAUACCGAGGCUGUCGAUCGAGCGAACUUGUUCGUGAAGUAACCAAACGGGGUCCCAGGAAAAGCCACUAAGCUUCAGCUUGCAGUUGACCGUACCGCAAACCGACACUGGUGCGCGAGAUGAGUAUUCUCAGGCGCUUGAGAGAACUCGGGAGAAGGAACUCGGCAAAUUGACACCGUAACUUCGGAAGAAGGUGUGCCCUUGUAGCGUGUAGUGAACAACGAAGCGUGAAGGGGUUGCAAAAAAUAGGUGGCUGCGACUGUUUACUAAAAACACAGCACUCUGCAAACACGAAAGUGGACGUAUAGGGUGUGACGCCUGCCCGGUGCCGGAAGAUUAAUUGAUGGGGUGCAAGCUCUUGAUCGAAGUCCCGGUAAACGGCGGCCGUAACUAUAACGGUCCUAAGGUAGCGAAAUUCCUUGUCGGGUAAGUUCCGACCUGCACGAAUGGCGUAACGAUGGCCACACUGUCUCCUCCUGAGACUCAGCGAAGUUGAAAUGUUUGUGAUGAUGCAAUCUCCCCGCGGAAAGACGGAAAGACCCCAUGAACCUUUACUGUAGCUUUGUAUUGGACUUUGAACAGAUCUGUGUAGGAUAGGUGGGAGGCUUUGAAGCCUGGUCGCUAGAUCAGGUGGAGCCGACGUUGAAAUACCACCCUGGUGUGUUUGAGGUUCUAACCUAGGUCCAUUAUCUGGAUCGGGGACAGUGCAUGGUAGGCAGUUUGACUGGGGCGGUCUCCUCCCAAAGCGUAACGGAGGAGUUCGAAGGUACGCUAGUUACGGUCGGACAUCGUGACGAUAGUGCAAUGGCAUAAGCGUGCUUAACUGCGAGACUGACAAGUCGAGCAGAUGCGAAAGCAGGACAUAGUGAUCCGGUGGUUCUGUAUGGAAGGGCCAUCGCUCAACGGAUAAAAGGUACUCUGGGGAUAACAGGCUGAUACCGCCCAAGAGUUCAUAUCGACGGCGGUGUUUGGCACCUCGAUGUCGGCUCAUCUCAUCCUGGGGCUGUAGCCGGUCCCAAGGGUAUGGCUGUUCGCCAUUUAAAGAGGUACGUGAGCUGGGUUUAAAACGUCGUGAGACAGUUUGGUCCCUAUCUUCCGUGGGCGCUGCAGAUUUGAGGAAGCCUGCUCCUAGUACGAGAGGACCGGAGUGGACGUACCUCUGGUGUACCUGUUGUCACGCCAGUGGCAUUGCAGGGUAGCUAAGUACGGAAGAGAUAACCGCUGAAAGCAUCUAAGCGGGAAACUCGUUCCAAGAUGAGAUCUGCCGGGGCCUCGAGCCCCCUAAAGAGUCGUUCAAGACCAGGACGUUGAUAGGUCGGGUGUGGAAGCGCAGUAAUGCGUUAAGCUAACCGAUACUAAUUGCUCGUGCGGCUUGACCCU
rnacentral:rRNA from 1 species